AUUUGUCUAGUAUAAUAAGUAUAUUUGACUUCCAAUCAAAAGGUCUGAAUAUCUUCAGGACAAAUA
rnacentral:tRNA from 2 species